GAUGAAGAACGUAUUGAAAUGCGAUACGUAAUGUGAAUUGCAGAUUUCAGUGAAUCAUCGAAUCUUUGAACGCACAUUGCGCCCGCUAGUAUUCUGGCGGGCUUGCCUGUUCGAGCGUCAUUUCAACCAUCAAGCCCUAGGCUUGCGUUGGAGCCCUGCGGCUGCCGCAGGCUCCCAAAUCCAGUGGCGGGCUCGUCGUCGUACCGAGUGCAGUAAACAUCCUCGCUCAGGGAACGUGACGGGUUCUUGCCGUGAAACCCCCCACAUAUCAAGGUUGACCUCGGAUCAGGUAGGAAUACCCGCUGAACUUAAGCAUAUCAAUAAGCGGAGGA
rnacentral:misc_RNA from 1 species